AUGAUGGAGACCAAGCCGCCGUCGCCGGGGAGCGGGGGCGGAUCGGCGCCGGGGGUGCACCACCACAGGCGGUGGGCGGCGCCGCUGCUGGCGUCCGUGCUGCUCUCAUCGCUCCUCAUCUCGGCCUCCCUCUUCUUCUCCUCGUCGCGGGCGCUGCUCCUCUCCUUCUCCCCGCUCCCCUCCGCGGCCCCCGGGGAGCCGCUCUUCGUCGAGGCCAAGCUGCGGCAGCAGCAGCAGGAGGCGCGCGCCCGCCCGCACCGCGCCGUGCCCAGGAUCGCCUACCUCGUGUCCGGCUCCGCCGGGGACGGGGUCGCGCUGCGCCGGACGCUCAGGGCGCUCUACCACCCGGCCAACCGCUACGUCCUGCACCUCGACCUCGAGGCGCCCGCCGCCGAGCGCGCCGAGCUGGCCGCCGCCGUGCGCGCAGACCCCGUCUACUCCCGCUUCCGCAACGUCAAGGUCGUCACGCGCGCCAACCUCGUCACCUACCGGGGCCCGACCAUGGUGGCCAACACGCUGCACGCCGCCGCCAUCCUCCUGCGCGACGGCGGCGACUGGGACUGGUUCAUCAACCUCUCCGCCUCCGACUACCCCCUCGUCUCGCAGGACGAUCUGUUGUAUGUGCUCUCUGGCCUGCCAAGGGAGCUUAACUUCAUCGAGCAUACCAGUGACAUCGGAUGGAAGGAGUAUCAGAGGGCAAAGCCCGUGAUCGUCGACCCAGGCCUAUAUAGCCUGCAGAAGUCCGAUGUUUUCUGGAUCACAGAGAAAAGAAGUGUGCCGACCGCAUUCAAGCUCUUCACUGGCUCUGCAUGGAUGAUGCUUACUCAUCGGUUUAUUGAAUACUGCAUAUGGGGAUGGGACAAUCUUCCAAGGACAGUCCUGAUGUAUUAUGCCAAUUUUCUCUCUUCUCCGGAGGGUUACUUCCACACAGUCAUCUGCAAUGUCCCAGAGUUCCGCAACACCACAGUCAACCAUGACCUGCAUUUCAUUUCCUGGGAUAACCCACCAAAGCAGCAUCCUCAUUACCUCACCCUCAAUGACUUUGACGGUAUGCUUAGCAGCAAUGCUCCCUUUGCAAGGAAGUUUGGAAGAGAAGACCCUGUCCUAGACAAGAUUGAUCAGGAAAUACUGGGCCGUCAACCCGAUGGAUUCGUGCCCGGUGGAUGGUUGGAUCUGUUGAAUACAACAGUGAAAGGGAAACAGUUCAGCGUCGAGCGUGUACAAGAUCUCCGCCCGGGGCCUGGUGCGGACAGGAUAAAGAAACUCGUCACAGGCCUGCUCACCGAGGAAGGCUUUGAUGACAAGCAUUGCGUAUAA
rnacentral:rRNA from 1 species